rnacentral:rRNA from 1 species
GACGAACGCUGGCGGCGUGCCUAACACAUGCAAGUCGAACGGAAAGGCCCUGCUCUUGUGGGGUGCUCGAGUGGCGAACGGGUGAGUAACACGUGAGUAUCCUGCCCUUGACUUUGGGAUAACUUCAGGGAACUGGGGCUAAUACCGGAUAGGAGCUCCUGCUGCAUGGUGGUGGUUGGAAAGUGUGGGCGGUUGGGGAUGGACUCGCGGCUUAUCAGCUUGUUGGUCGGGUAGUGGCUUACCAAGGCUUUGACGGGUAGCCGGCAUGGGAGGGGUACCGGCCACCUGGGGACUGCGAUACGGAGCAGAAGCCAACGGGAGGCAACGGUGGAGAAUAUUGCACAACGGGCGGAAGCCUGAGGCAGAAGCGCCGCGUGCGGGAUGACGGCCUUCGGGUUGUAAACCGCCUUCGCCUGUGACGAAGCGUGCGUGACGGUAAUGAGUAAAGAAGCAACGGCUAACUACGUG